rnacentral:rRNA from 2 species
UACAGGGGGUGCUAGCGUUGUUCGGAAUUACUGGGCGUAAAGGGCGCGUAGGCGGUCUUGUAAGUCAGGAGUGAAAUCCCAGAGCUUAACUUUGGAAUUGCUUUUGAAACUACAAGACUAGAGUGAGUUAGAGGAUGGCGGAAUUCCUAGUGUAGUGGUGAAAUACGUAGAUAUUAGGAAGAACACCGGUGGCGAAGGCGGCCAUCUGGGACUCAACUGACGCUGAGGCGCGAAAGCGUGGGGAUCAAACAGG